rnacentral:lncRNA from 10 species
AAAGUAUUGAGCCUGGGUGUGUCUGUGAGGGUGUUUCCAAAGGAGAUUAACAUUUGAGUCAGUGGGCUGGGAAAGGCAGACUCACCCUUAAUCUGGGUGGGCACAAUCUAAUCAGCUGCCAGUGUGGCUGAAAUAUAAGGAGGCAGAAAAAUAUGAAAAGACAGACUGGUCGAGCCUCCCAGCCUACAUUUUUCUCCCAUGCUGGAUGCUUCCUGCCCUUGAACAUUGGACUCCAAGUUUUUCAGUUUUGUAACUUGGACUGGCUCUCCUUGCUCCUCAGCCUGCAGAUGGCCUAUUGUGGAACCUUGUGAUCAUAUUUACCUAUAGCUACAUGUUUAAGAAGAUAGCCUUAACCUGCCAGGCAUGGUGGCUCACGCCUGUAAUCCCAGCACUUUGGGAGGCCGAGGCUGGUGGAUCACCUGAGGUCAGGAGUACAAGACCAGCCUGGCCAACAUGGUGAAACUCUGUCUCUACUAAAAAUACAAAAAUUAGCCGGGCGUGGUGGCGCAUGCCUGUAAUCCCAGCUACUCGGGAGGCUGAGGCAAGAGAAUUGCUUGAACCCAGGACGCGGAGGUUGCAGUGAGCAGAGAUCGUGCCAUUGCACUCCAGUCUGGGGGACAAGAGAGAGACUUUGUCUCAAAAAAAAAAAAAAAAAACCAUUUAACGAACGGUGUCAGCACAGUGUCUGGGACAGAGAACACAAUAAACCACUGCUACUGCAUAUCAAGAUGUCACUAUUAAUAAAUAGGCUUCAAGGCCUAUUAUGAAAAAAGCACUAUAACAGGCAUUUGUCAUUAAAAAUAUAAAGAAAGAGAAGCCAUAUGUAUUUGUGAACAUGUUACUAAAAGAGGCAAUACAAAAUAAUGAUAGGUAACAUUACUUGAGUAUCCACUAAGCGCAAGAUAUUUGACCCUAUAAUAGCACCUUCUAUAUCUUACCUCACUUUAUCUUCUCAAUGAGCCAACUUAUAACUGGGGACAUGAACUCUUAGAGAAGAAAGAGCUUACAUAACUUAUCCAAGGUCAUAUAUUAGAAAUUUGCAAUGACUUCCAAUAUGAACCUAUACCUGUCUUGAUCCAAAGCCCAUCGUCUUCAUGCUCUAAAACUGAAUGAAUACUCAGACCAAGUGUUAUGGAAAGAGAGAGACUAAAAUAAGUACAGUGCAGAACUAAUCUAUUUACUUGAGCUCUUGGAUUAUCAAAAACUGGCCUGUGAGAAUGAUACAUCUUAAUUCAGACACUUUCCUAAUUGUUUUACAAUUGUAGUGUACGUCUGUCCUUCAUUGUCAAACACAUACAUUAACUAAAGUGGAAUAAGUAACAAAUACAGUGACUUGAAAAAGAAAAAUGUAACUAAAAAUAACAUCAACAUUCCCAGGACUUUUCUCAAACUCAUUUAUUACAUAUCUAUUUUCUAAUCUAUUCCAUAGCACUGUUACUCUUUACAUACAAUGGCUGAAAAUCUCAUCAGCAAUAUUUCAAGAAUCAAUAAAUGACUAAGUGGAAUUAUUCCUUUUUUGAAAACAUUUUACAUGAUUCUUCCACACUCUCUCAGAACUAUAAACUACAAAACAAACAUAAAUUUUAUCUUUACCACACCCCUGGGUGGUUUCUUAAGCAUGUUUCUUGAGUGCUAUGUUCUUGAGCAUUCCAUUUUUCUUUCCCAGGUUUACAGCAAUAAAACAACAGAAGUUACUAAUGAAAAGAGGCCCACAAUGAAAAAAAUGUAGACUCUUAAAAAAUUAAUAGAAUUUCCUUUCUUUUAGAUCUAUUUUCCACCCAAGACUUGGAUUGAAUUAGUCUUUCUCUAGGGGAAGAAGUGUAAAACCCAUUACCACAGUCACUCCAUGUCUGAAAGCCUAUAAAAAAUUGGAUGCUUCUUGGAAUAUAUUGGAAGGAUAAUUUGUGACUCAUAAAGAAAUAAAAUAUUUAAGCAAUCUGCUA